GUGGGAUGCAAGGUGGUAUGCUGAGAGAGGAGAGCUGUUCACCUACAACUAAAUCCAUAGGGGCACUUCAACAAGGCCUACAUUACAAUGAGCUCACAAUGUAAGCUCACUUACCAAGAUCCUAGAGACAAAAAAUUAAGCUGCUCAAUCUCUCACGGAUUUCCUUGCAAGGAAGUGCAUUUAAAAACGACAUAAGAAUAGAAGCAUACACACUCAACACACCGGAAAGAAAAGACCAGCCAAGAGACAAAGUGGGCGUCUUGUCACAGGUUGGGCCUGCACCAUGGAUAACAUGUCCCCGGACGAGAGAUAGUGACAGACAGACAGACCGACCAACAUGUUUAGUCUGCCUCCUAGCCCCUUGGACUAAUUCCUGCUGCAGCAGAUGAAUUGACUGAUUCUUUAAACAGCCUAACAUGGCACAUGACUGGAGGGAUGAUGUCAUCAGGGUGAGAUGGCUCGAAGAGUGACACCCCCAAGCCAUUAACUCGAGCGGGCUGCCAUUCCUAGUUAUCCCCUCCACUCUUGAGCCCGAACUCAACACCGGCACUGGGCGCUGUCCGCAGUCAAAGCAGCCAGUUCUCCCCUUCUAUCCUCCCCAGAUGGCAAAGUUCAGGUCAAGUUUAAAGAAAGAGAGAAAGUUGUAAAACGUGGACUUCCUGAAUGGUGCUCUUCCUGUUUCCAGGCCUAUCCGGGAGAGAGAGAGAGUGGUCUCAGUGUGCUUGUUCCAAGCUUCCAGCGCUGGGUCAGAGGACUGAGGGGUGAGCAGCUGACACUAUGUCAAGAGUGGAGGGUGACUACGUCAACAUGUGGUUAUGCACCUGUAAUAACAACUGUCCACCCGUUCAUACACAACGUCGUACACCUAGGAGCUACAUUCUGACCAGGUAGGGUGCAACGCCAGUUACUUAUCUGCAUGCGUAGCGUUAUUUCUUCGUAUUUUUUCUGGACAGCUUGUGAG
rnacentral:lncRNA from 1 species